GACGAACGCUGGCGGCGUGCUUAACACAUGCAAGUCGAACGGUGAACCACGGAGCUUGUUCCCUGCGGGUCUGUCGCGAACGGGUGAGUCACAUGUGAGCAAUGCCCCCGACUCUCGGGUAUCAGCUGGGAACAGGACCUAAUAUAGCGUAUAAGACCCUGCUGCAUAUCCUUUCUUGGUGAAUUACAGCGGUUUGGGAUGUGCUCGCGGCGUAUCAGCUCGUUGGUGAGGGAACGGCUAACCAAGGCGACGACGGGUAGCCGGCCUGAGAGGGUGACCGGCCACACUGGGACUGAGACACGGCCCAGACUCCUACGGGAGGCAGCAGUGGGGAAUAUUGCACAAUGGGCGCAAGCCUGAUGCAGCAACGCCGCGUGAGGGACGACGGCCUUCGGGUUGUAAACCUCUUUUAGCAGGGAAGAAGCGAAAGUGACGGUACCUGCAGAAAAAGCACCGGCUAACUACGUG
rnacentral:rRNA from 1 species